GACAGCCCAGGUGGUCUAAGUGGUUAGAACAUCCGCAUUGAAUGCGUGAGGUCGCGUGUUCGAACCCCGUCCAUGUCA